CGUGGCAACCAUAUUUCUCUUUUGACCUUUUGACUUCUUCCAGGAGUUACAUUCUUUCACUCCACACGUGAGAGAGGCGACGUUGGAGAAGAGGAAGCCGCAGAGGGAGCUCCUUGCCAUCGCGUCGGUCAUGGUGAAGAUUGUUACUGAAGGUGGCGCUUUUAGGAUAGGGUGGAGGCCGUGAAAAAAACAGGAAAGAAAAAGUAUUUGUGAAAGAUAUGGCUCCUCCGAAGGUUUACUUAUUUGAUGAGAUUGCCAAGCACAAGAAAACCGAGGAUUGCUGUCCGAAUAUCUCUGGAAAGGAAACUUGCUCUCCAUCCAGUAAGUGCGCAGGCAAGGGAAAACAAAAACAACUUGCAGAGGAUUGACAGAAUUUAUACAAGCUGAAACAUUUUGCUCCUUCAACUCUGAUCAUUUUGCCCCCCCACUUUCUUUCUUUUUUUUGCUUUUCACUGCCAAUGAGAAUUCUGCCAGUACCUAUUCAAAGAGUUCUGUCUAGGCCAAGCAUGGCUUCUCCAGCAUAUUUUGUUUUUGUUGCAUAUUAUGCUUUUAAGUUGUAUGAUACAGCCAAUGUCUCACAGAUUGCCUUGACGCUUCAUUGAAA